GAAGUAAAAGUCGUAACAAGGUCUCCGUAGGUGAACCUGCGGAGGGAUCAUUACAAGAACGCCCGGGCUUCGGCCUGGUUAUUCAUAACCCUUUGUUGUCCGACUCUGUUGCCUCCGGGGCGACCCUGCCUUCGGGCGGGGGCUCCGGGUGGACACUUCAAACUCUUGCGUAACUUUGCAGUCUGAGUAAACUUAAUUAAUAAAUUAAAACUUUUAACAACGGAUCUCUUGGUUCUGGCAUCGAUGAAGAACGCAGCGAAAUGCGAUAAGUAAUGUGAAUUGCAGAAUUCAGUGAAUCAUCGAAUCUUUGAACGCACAUUGCGCCCCCUGGUAUUCCGGGGGGCAUGCCUGUUCGAGCGUCAUUUCACCACUCAAGCCUCGCUUGGUAUUGGGCAACGCGGUCCGCCGCGUGCCUCAAAUCGUCCGGCUGGGUCUUCUGUCCCCUAAGCGUUGUGGAAACUAUUCGCUAAAGGGUGUUCGGGAGGCUACGCCGUAAAACAACCCCAUUUCUAAGGUUGACCUCGGAUCAGGUAGGGAUACCCGCUGAACUUAAGCAUAUCAAUAAGCGGAGGAA
rnacentral:misc_RNA from 1 species